rnacentral:sRNA from 1 species
AUAUAUUCUCCACGGAGAAGGACGAGAACCUUCGACAAGGUUCGAACCGAACAACGUGAGGUAACGUGCGCAGCACGGCCCGCAGGGUGAGCCGGUACGGCGAAUCAUCCUUCUCCCACCACCA